rnacentral:rRNA from 1 species
GACAGAGGGUGCAAACGUUGUUCGGAAUUACUGGGCGUAAAGCGCGUGUAGGCGGCUGCGCAAGUCGGAUGUGAAAUCCCAUGGCUCAACCAUGGAAGUGCACCCGAAACUGCGUAGCUAGAGUCUCGGAGAGGAAGGCGGAAUGCUUGGUGUAGAGGUGAAAUUCGUAGAUAUCAAGCGGAACACCGGUGGCGAAGGCGGCCUUCUGGACGGAUGACUGACGUGAGAACGCGAAAGCGUGGGGAGCAAACAGG